rnacentral:rRNA from 1 species
CAGCCGCCACGGGAAUACAAAGGGUGCGAGCGUUAAUCGGAUUUACUGGGCGUAAAGCGUGCGUAGGCGGCUUUUUAAGUCGGAUGUGAAAUCCCUGAGCUUAACUUAGGAAUUGCAUUCGAUACUGGGAAGCUAGAGUAUGGGAGAGGAUGGUAGAAUUCCAGGUGUAGCGGUGAAAUGCGUAGAGAUCUGGAGGAAUACCGAUGGCGAAGGCAGCCAUCUGGCCUAAUACUGACGCUGAGGUACGAAAGCAUGGGGAGCAAACAGGAUUAGAUACCCGUGUAGUCCCUGUCUCUUAUAC